AUGGGAGGAAAUGUUCACAGGCAAAGAGAAGUGGCUGACGCCCUUGUAUCCAUCAUGUCAGCAGUGCAAACUUCAUUGAACAAAGACAUCCCUGUUAGCGGCUGUGACAGGAGCAGUCUUGUUGCUCGUAAAUUGGGGAAUCUGGGUGACGCUGGCGACUUGUAGGGGGGGUGCGUGUGGGUGCACGUGCACCCCCUGUACAAAGGAAGGCAGUUUUCUGUCAGCAAUUGAUCUUUACAGAAAUCAAACUAUUUCACAAGUCCAAGUCUACUUCAUGGUUUGUUUUUUAAUUGGGAAAAGUUAAAAUAUUGUUUUGAACUGCUGAUGCUGAAACCUCUCCAUCAUGUAGAAACAUUUGGCUUUGAUAAUGUUGUUAUGUAUGAUUCAUUUCAUUUGGACUUUUACAAUCUGUUAAUGGGACACUAUAUAUAAGUUUAUUGUCUUUUGGCUGGCUUUGAUGAAACUUGCAGAAAUGGUGGCCUCUGCUGAGAGCGUGAUGUGUGCCAAGCUUCAAGGUAAUAGAUUCAGGGGUUUCUGGAAAACUGCACCUCAAAGUCCUGAAAGCAGAACUUGUGUCAUGCAUGUGUGUUAUGCCUUUGGGGGGGGGGGGUGAAAACUGCAGAAAUGGGAGCUCUUACUGAGGCCACAAAGUAUGCCAAGCCUCAAGGAGAUAGGUAUAGGGGAUUCUGGGAAACUGCACCCCACAUUUCUGAAAGCAAAUCUCAUAUCACAUGUUUGUGUUAAGCCACAGCAGGGUGAAAACUGCAGGGAUGGUAGCCCUUGCUGAGGCCACAAAGCCUGCCAAGUUUCAAGGAGAUACGUGCAAGGGUUUCUGGGAAACUGCACCUCAAGCUGCAGACAAGCAGAACUCGUGCCAUGGGUGACCCUGCGUGUGUUGAGGCGCAGUGGGGUGGCAGCUGCACGGAUGGUGGCCCCUGCUGAGGCCACGACGCCUGCCAGCUGUGGAGGAGAUCGGUGCAGGGCGCUGUGCUUGAUGCUGCUGCUCCUGCUGCUGCUCGUGGGCACCGCGGCCGACCCAGGAACCAGCGCCAGCUCCCACUCCUACCAGCAUUUCUACACGGGGGUGUCGGAUCCCAGCUGAGACGUGCCCGCCUUCACUGCCAUGAGCUACGUAGACAACCAGCCAAUUCUGCACUAUGACAGUGAUACACGGAGACAGGAGCCGUGUGGGGACUGGGUGCAGGGGGCCGUUGGACCAGGCUUCUGGGACCGGGAAAUCAGGUCCUUGCGGGUCUGGCAGGAUGGAUUUAAACGGAACCUGCUCACACUGCAGCAUCGCUACAACCAGACCGGGGGCUGUCUGACUCCUGCAGCAGAAGCCCAGCCCUUGUCCAGGCCGAUGAACGGAGGGAAACCUUGUGAGCCCGAUAGCGGUGGGAAUGACUGUUCUCUGUCCUGCCAUGAGUCAGUGCACAGCUCCCCAGCUCGCGCCCUGUCCUGUUGCCUGAGCUCCCCGAGCCCUGCCCCAGCACGUCGGUGUCACUGACAGGGUCUCACACUCUGCAGCUCACGUACGGCUGCGAGCUCCGUGAAGACGGCAGCACUGGAGGCCACAUGCAGCUGGGUUAUGAUGGGGGAGACUUCAUCAGCUAUGACCUGGGAACGUGCACCUGGGUAGCAGCCCCCACACAGGCCCAGGUCACCCAGCGCAGCUGGAAUGAGGAGAAGGCCCUUCUUCAGAUUACAAGAGCCUACCUGGAGGAGACCUGCAUCGAGUGUCCGUGGCAGAACCUGCCGCACGGGGAGGCAGCGCUGCAGAGCAGUGAGUCCCGGUGUCACUGCCCAGGGCAGCAGUCCACCCCCAAAGGGACACCUGCCUCAUCCCCUGUGUCCUGGGUGGUGAGUGCUGUGUCUCAGUCCUGUGGCAGGGAGAAAUCCCAGCGCUGCUGUGGGACCUGGUGCCCCUGUCCCUGUGGCAGAAAUGCCACCGUCGGUGCCCCUCUCCAGAGAUCUGUCUCUGCCAGCGUGACAGGCUGGUGUUGAAUCCCUCAGGGAGGGGGAUCUUCCUCCCUGCUACAUGACAAAAGCCUGGUGCCUGGGAGGCGGAUGCUCUGGUCACCUGGGGGGGAGGGAAAAGCCCCGCUCACCGGCCCAGGUAGCCAGGGAUGCUUUUUAAAUUGGUUGGCUAGUGGCCAGCACUGGCAGCUUCGAUUGGACCGGGCUGCUGAGGUCAGAAAGGUUAUUUAAAGGCCCAGGCCAGGAAGAAGGCAGCCAUUAGCCAUGCGGUCAUCCAGGCAAAUCUGAACCUGGCUCUCUCCUCAUCACCACAUGCUCCAAGAGUGCCCUGCCUCCAGAGGAAACUCCAACCACCUCUGGACGAUGUGAGUGAGUAAGCUACUCGAGAUCUGACUAGAUAUUUAGCUUACAGUAACUCAGAUGUGUGUUUAAACGGCUGCCUCAGCCACCCUGGUUUGCUCUAUGGGAUUCCUCUGACAUUCCUCUGAUAUUGCUCUACCUUUUACCCUGUUUCCGCCCUGCCCCCUGUAAUCAAUAAAGUUCUCCUUGUGACCGGUGUGGGAGACUUAUUGAGGGGUGGGUCUAAAUUAUGCCAAGGAGGCCCCUUAGGUCUGUGGACUAAGGGAGACUUUCUAAUAAGCCCCUGACUUGGGAAAGUGCCCCAAGGGCCGGUAUUGGGUCUAGGACCCAUUGGACAAUCAGGCCUGUGUUCUCCAAGGUGCGCAGAGCCAGAAGUGAGUCCAGAGCCUUGGAUGGUGGCAGCGGGACCCCAGGCUAGCGGGUGUGCUCCAGGGAAGGGGUCGGCCGGACAGGAGGCACCCCAGGGAGGCACUCGGAGCCUGGAAGGUGGGCGGGCUCAGGGAGGUGGGCGGCUCCACGCAGGAGCGCCCCCUACUGGCCCGCCACAGUCCCUGCCCUGCAGAGCCCACGGGGUGUCCGUGCCCCGGACAUGUGUCUGAGAACCAGAGAUCAGCUGUAUGGGACCCCGUUCCUGCAGCCCCGAGCCCAGUGCAGCUGUGUCUCCCAUCCCUGUGCUCCUGCCCAGCACUGUCUGCCCCUGCCUGAAAUGGGCGCUGGAGCCAGGUUGUGUGGCCCAGUGCAGGGCCCAGCCUGGCUCCUGGCCACGGUGCUGGGGGUCCCGCAGGGAUGGUCGCUCUAAUGGGUGUCUCCUCCCUCCCAGAGCGUCCCAUGGCACAGGUGAGCGACAGGCCGUCCCAGGAUGGACGCACCACCUUGUCCUGCCGGGUCCACGGCUUCUACCUCAAGGAUGUGGCUGUCGUUUGGGUGAAGAACGGGGAGGCGCAGACCUAGGAGACAACCCGCUCGGGGGUUCUUCCCAGCGGAGACGGGACCUUCCAGACCUGGGCCACCAUUGAGAUCGACACGAGCAGCGACCACAACUAUACCUGCAGCAUGGUGCACGUGAGCCUGGGGGCAGCCCUGAGUGUGUCCUGGGACAAGAACAGGACAGGCCCCUUCCCUCUUCCAGAGUACGACCCAACAAUGAUUAUGGGUAUUGUUACCGGUGUUGUUUUGCUGGUCGUGCUGGUCUUUGCUAUCUCAGUGGCAGCUGUUACCCUCUGCAGGAGACAGGCAGCAUGAAAUAAAGUAAUGUCCUACGAACUGCCCACCUACAAAGCAGUGUGCAAUGAGUGUGAACCCCCCUCCUGUCUCCACCGCCCCGGUGCCGUGGGCUCUGUGCAGAGCAGCCCCUGGGCAGACGGCCUCAUCCAGCCCCAAGCUGCCUCCCUGCGCCUGCCAGGUGGUGCCAUGGGCUGGGCAGAGCCCUGGGCCUCGCUCCGGUCUGGGGAGUCACAAGGAUGCCCGUCACCUGGCGUCUGCAGACUGCGAAGCCCGGGAGAGUGAAUCCUCGGGGAUCUCCCGUGCAUCAUGAACAGGUCCAGGGAAGUGAUGCUUCGCCUCUAUGUGGCACUGGUCAGGCCGCAGCUGGAGUACUGCAUCCAGUUCUGGGCGCUGCAGUUCAAGGGGGAUGUGGACAACAUGGAGAGGGUGCAGAGAACGGACGCUCGUAUGGUUAGGGGCCUGCAGGCAAAGCCCUACGAGGAGCGAUUGAGGGCCCUGGAUCUCUUCAGCCUCCGCAAGAGAAGGCUGAGAGGUGAUCUUGUAGCCACCUACAGAUUCAUCAGGUGCGGCAGCAAGAGACAGAAGAUGCUGUGUUUACCAGGGCACCCCUUGGGGUAACUAGGAACAACGGCCACAAACUGACGGAGAGCAGAUUCAGGUCAGACAUCAGGAAAAACUUCUUCAUGGUCAGGGUGGCCAGAAUCUGGAACAGGCUUCCAAGGGAGGUGGUGCUCACCCCAUCCUUGGGGGGCUUCAAGAGGAGACUGGACAGGCACCUGGCUGGGGUCAUCGGACUCCAGCGCUCUUUCCUGCCCUGGGCAGGGGGUCAGACUCAAAGAUCUGCUAAGAUCCCUUCCAACCCAAACAUCAAUGACUCUAUGAAUAAGAUAGUUAACACUGCUGGUGAAACAGUUGGGUGGACCGAGUGGAUAGACUCCACAGACGAGAGAUGAUACACAGAGGAGAGCCCAGCUAGCUCUGGUGACAACUGCAGCCAGCCCAGAGUUUUCAGACCAGAGAAAGUGUCUGGUGCAUUAACAAGAAGUUUGGGGUGCCCCAAGAGGUAUUUUGCCCCAUAAUCCCAUCCUCCUCUGAUCUUCAUUUGAGGUAUCGUACUUGAUGCAGGAUAACAUUUUACAUAUUAAUUAGUAACUAUGCAUAGCUAAUGACAUUCUCUGUAGAACGUGUCACUCAUGAAUAACAAGUUUGUCUUGGGUCUAAAUUAAAGAGUUCAUAGAUUUAUAGAUGCUCGGGUCAAAAGGGACCUCAACAGAUCAUCGAGUCCGACGCCCUGCAUAGGCAGGAACGAGUGCUGGGGCCACAUGACCCCGGCCAGGUGCAUGUCCAGCCUUCUCGUGAGUUGGAGCUGCGUCCAGUACUGGGCGCCGCACUUCACAAGGGAUGUGGCCAGCCUGGAGAGGGGUCAGAGGAGGCCACCCGCUUGGUGAGAGGGCAGCAGGACAGGCCCUACGAGGAGAGACUGAGGGACCUGGACCUGUUCAGCCUCCGCAAGAGGAGGCUGAGGGGGGACCUGGUGGCUGCCGACAAGCUCAUCAGGAAGAUCAACAGCAAAUAGGCAGAGCCCUUUUCUCCCCAGCACCACCUGGGGUGACGAGGAACAAUGGUCAUAAGCUGAUAUCAGGAGAAUAGGUUUAGGUUGGAGAUCAGAAGGCAAUAUUUUACAGUUAGGGUGGCCAAAAUCUGGAACCAACUUCCCAGGGAAGUGGUCCUCGCCCCUACCAUGGGCAUAUUCUAGAGGAGGUUGGACGAUCACCUGUCUGGGGGCUUGUGAACCCAGCAUCCAUUCCUGCCUGUGGCAGGGGGUCAGGCUAGAUGAUCUGUUCAGGUCCUCCUGAUCCUAGCUACUAUGAAACUAUGAAACACGGUGGACCUUUCUUGGAAAUGUCUGGGUUUAUCUUGGCCUUUUGUCCUUAGAGAAGAGACAAUUCAGGGCACACGUGGCUGUUGUAAAUGGCACCUUACACAGUGGUGUGCUGGGUGUCUCAGAAAACCAUAAGCGCAUCAGAGCUGCCCUGGACUGGGUCACGCUCCAGGUCCAUCUUGCCAUAUCUCCUGUGUCACCAAGCAGCAGAGCGGAGGCUGGAGGGAGAACGACCAGGUCUGAGCAGGGUUUUCCCCUCUUCGUCUCUCCCUUGCAGCCUCCAGCACUGCAGGUCUGGGCAGGUCUGAUGCAGAGGCCGUGCCCUCACUCCCUGGUCAGUAGUCAUUGAGCUACCAGACUUAACAUUAGACUUUAAGCCAUGGCACUGCAUUCAUAGAUACGUGAACAAGGGCAGCCCGUGCUCUGAAGAGAACUGUCACUGAGCACAGCAACCUGCAACUUCAAGCCCACAACCAAGAACAAUAGAAAUGUCCGUUAAGCUGAGACAGGGCCCAGCAAGACACAGUGACCACACACACAGUUUUGUCUGAUUGGAAAUGCUAUACAGGAAGCCACAAAGAAAAGAGAAAGCCUCACAUAGGUCUCAUGUAACCCCAAGGGCAGAGGUGUCCUCACAGCCCGGGGAUCAGAGAGUCCUUCUGGGGGUCCAUAGGUCCCCCACAGACAUCCUCCCUGCCUGGGGUUUUAUAGGUGAAUCCGCACACUCUUCUCCCCUCUUCUGUGCCCAGACCACAGUCCCAUAUAGCACGGCCCUCCCCUAUAGCAGAGCAGCACUCGCAUGCACUCAGCGUCUCUGUCUCUUCUCAGACACUCCAGUCUCACCUCUUACAGCUUCUGCCUUCAAAUGGAAAUGUAGUUCUCCGCUAACAUUUGGUCCCCCAGCCCAAGCCAUCUGGGACCCUGCCCUGCUCCCUUAGCUCUGUCUCCAGCACACGCGUGUUUUGAUUGUGCCAGGUCUUUGCCACCGACUGAUGUCCCUUUUCUCCAAGGACGUGUCCAUUCCCCUGGUGAAUCUGGCUGCAUUCUCAGCUCCCACCACACCUGGGGGCCACGAGCUCCACUCGGUAAAGAGACACUGCGGGGAAAAGAGCUUCCUUGGGUCAGUUUUCAACUUCCAGACUGAGGGUUCAUUCGGUGCCCCUCCUUCGUGUCUGGUGAGAGAGAGGCAGUAAUAAAUCUGUCGCGACUUCCUCUUC